ACCAAAAUGACUCUCGGCAAUGGAUAUCUCAACUCGCUUCGAUGAAGAACGUAAAGAAAUGCGAUACUUGGUGUGAAUUGCAGAAUCCCGUGAACCAUCGAGUCUUUGAACCCAAGUUGCGCCCAAAGCCGUCAGGCCAAGGGCACGUCUGCCUAGGCAUCACGCAUC
rnacentral:rRNA from 1 species